ACAAGAUGUACGCAGCCUCUGUAACAGCACUUGCCAGCUCUAUGCCCUUCCCCUGUUUUAUUUAAAGUUACCUGCUUUUUUGUGGCCUGUUUGUAUCAACAAUUGUGCUGCACUGAGAGGGAAUUGGAGGGAUCCAAAAUGGAGAUUGUUUGAUUUAUAGGGUAAUCCUCUCCCAUAGCAGGGAUUAUACAAGUGGGGAGGGAGAAAGGCCCAUUUUACACAGAACCUUGGAAAGGAGACAGAGAGACAAGAAAUGUCCCUUCUUUGAAGGAACCCUUCACAGAACUGAUACUAUGAAUAUCAUCUGAAAACCUCAGAGCAAGUAUUUGAAACUAUGUGCCCCUGCAGACCCACUCCCCCACACUGGUGAACACCUCCGUAUGAUAAGGCAGCGAACCUGGAGGAGUAAGAAGCAUAUGUUUCACGAAAUGCUGCAGUCAACAGAUACAGCACAUAGCAAAAUAAGAGUGUGGAGGGAGACAAUAAAAAAAACUCAGGCUGGAUAGUCUGGAAAAGAAAGGAACAGAUGAUUAAACUACUGGAGGACAGAGAUGCUCAAGUCCCUCAUCAUGCUGCAGUCAGAGAACAUCCGAGCAUGAGUCCCCCUGCAGCCAAUACAGAAGUCCAUUCUAUGCCCUCCCCAAACUCCCCAACCACAUUCCGUGCAUGUUUCCAGUCCCUCACAGUACCCCUUGCACUCCACCCAGUGGGACUGGUUUCACAGUGAAAUUUGGAGUUACACUCAGCUGUGAGAGCUGUAACCAAAAGGCCAUUCCUCAUUUCCAUGUCCCCGGUUUGAUUAAAAAAAUGUGUUUUUUCCAGUAUUAAACUUUAUUCUUUGAUACAAAUUGACUCUUUAAAUGUUUGCACCAACUAACAUGUGUCUGACACAAAUAAACAGUGGCUAUAGGCAGGAACAUU